rnacentral:rRNA from 1 species
AUUGUAGCAAUACAAGGCAGACGGCUCAUUAACGCGUAGUCAACCUACCCUAUGGACGGGGAUAACCUCGGGAAACUGAGAAUAAUACCAGAUAGAACAUUAUACCUGGAAUGGUUUAUGUUUCAAAUAAUUUAUUGCCGUAGGAUGGGACUGCGGCCUAUCAGUUUGUUGGUGAGGUAAUGGCCCACCAAGACUAUUACAGGUACGGGCUCUGAGAGGAGUAGCCCGGAGAUGGGUACUGAGACACGGACCCAGGCCCUAUGGGGCGCAGCAGGCGAGAAAACUUUGCAAUGUGCGAAAGCACGACAAGGUUAAUCCGAGUGGUUUCUGCUAAAGGAACCUUUUGUUAGUCAUAGAACCACUAAUGAAUAAGGGGUGGGCAAGUUCUGGUGUCAGCCGCCGCGGUAAAACCAGCACCUCAAGUGGUCAGGAUGAUUAUUGGGCCUAAAGCAUCCGUAGCCGGCUUUGUUAGUUUUCGGUUAAAUCCAUACGCUCAACGUAUGGGCUGCCGGGAAUACUGCAAGGCUAGGGAGUGGGAGAGGUAGACGGUACUCGGUAGGAAGGGGUAAAAUCCUUUGAUCUAUUGAUGACCACCUGUGGCGAAGGCGGUCUACCAGAACACGUCCGACGGUGAGGGAUGAAAGCUGGGGGAGCAAACCGGAUUAGAUACCCGGGUAGUCCCAGCUGUAAACUAUGCAAACUCGGUGAUGCAUUGGCUUGAUGCCAAUGCAGUGCCGCAGGGAAGCCGUUAAGUUUGCCGCCUGGGAAGUACGUACGCAAGUAUGAAACUUAAAGGAAUUGGCGGGGGAGCACCACAAGGGGUGAAGCCUGCGGUUCAAU